rnacentral:rRNA from 1 species
ACUCAAAGGAAUUGACGGGGACCCGCACAAGCGGUGGAGCAUGUGGUUUAAUUCGAAGCAACGCGAAGAACCUUACCAAAUCUUGACAUCCUCUGAUCCCUCUAGAGAUAGAGUUUUCCCCUUCGGGGGACAGAGUGACAGGUGGUGCAUGGUUGUCGUCAGCUCGUGUCGUGAGAUGUUGGGUUAAGUCCCGCAACGAGCGCAACCCUUAAGCUUAG